rnacentral:rRNA from 1 species
CCUACGGGAGGCAGCAGUGAGGAAUAUUGGUCAAUGGACGAGAGUCUGAACCAGCCACGUCGCGUGAAGGAUGACUGCCCUAUGGGUUGUAAACUUCUUUUAUAUGGGAAUAAAAUGUUCCACGUGUGGGAUUUUGUAUGUACCAUAUGAAUAAGGAUCGGCUAACUCCGUGCCAGCAGCAGCGGUAAUACGGAGGAGCCGAGCGUUAUCCGGAUUUAGUGGGUGUAAAGGGAGCGUAGGUGGAUUGGUAAGUCAGUUGUGAAAGUUUGCGGCUCAACCGUAAAAUUGCAGUUGAAACUGGCAGUCUUGAGUACAGUAGAGGUGAGCGGAAUUCGUGGUGUAGCGGUGAAAUGCUUAGAUAUCACGAAGAACUCCGAUGGCGAAGGCAGCUCACUGGACUGCAACUGACACUGAGGCUCGAAAGUGUGGGUAUCAAACAGGAUUAGAUACCCCUGUAGUC